AAGGGCCUCUGCCACACAUUUUUUUUUUUCCUUUGGUUCCAAGGCCUCAAGCCAGGUCUCGGUGACAGGGAGGGCAGGCCUGGGGUCACAUGUCAGAGGUCAGGGGCCCCCUGAUUGUUCCCAAAUGUGCUUCCGAGUAACCAUAGAUUUGAACUUUGCAUUGUUGUGGGGGCCCUGGGGAGAGAGAGGCCCUGGGGGAGGAGAGAGACCCUGGGGGAGGCCAUCUCGGCAGUUCAAAGGCGGCCUGCUCCGGUUUCACUUGGCCCACUGUUUCCAUCCCUGAGUCCUCCCGAACCCAAUCCCGGUGGGGCUGCCGUGGGUGGGGGUGGGGUGGCACUCGGGACGGACAUUCCGCGUAACCCAAAGCCGCACAUCUCACAGACUGAUGGUGCCUUCAGAGCCGGAAACACUCAGGAUUAGCGUCAGAGGCUGAAAAUUCCCCUGACUGCUUCCUCAAGUCCCAGAACGCUUGCCCCAAAGCCGGUAAAGGUUGCUCCUCCGCCCAGAACCAACCCCUCGGUCCCCACUUCCCGGCCCAGGCAGGGUUCUUUGUAAAGUGUAGCUAAACGCAGGGCACUGAGGUUCAGAAAAUGAACCCCAAUGCUGGCUUUACCCAAGGGUAGUGGGUGUUUGCUAGAUCACACAAGCUGAAAGGAGGUAAAAGAUCCCAGACCAUCCCCCCCAAAACAAGUGUCUCCACUGAUACCUGAAAAUCUACCAUAACCAGGACGUAAAUUUAUAUCUGUUGAUAUGGAAGAGUGUAUAAGAGAUAUUGUUAAGUGCCGAACACAAGCUACAGCUACUGUAUGGCCCCAACUAUGUAGGAGAUACACACGGGAGCAAAGUCAAAGAUGACACGUCAAAAUGUUGGUAGUCGUACCCCUGACGGGUGGGACUUCGAGUGAUUUUUUUUUUUUUCCUUCUAUUUUUCUGCAUUUUAGAAUUACACCACCCGUGUAUAGACGAGGAAACCGAAUGUUCAUGAAUCAUUUCUUUAGUUCAGUGUUUUUUCAAAUUGUGGUUAGAAGGAACCAGCGUCAGACUCGGGAAGCUCGCUGAACAGGAAGGUCCCUACGUGUCAGUCGGACCUACUGAGCCCGAGUCUGGAGAGGCGGCCUGACCGACAGCAUUGGAAGCACCCUCCUCCAGGCCAUUGUCAGGGAAUGGUCCACCCAGGCGGAUGUUUGCUUUGCCCAAAGGGUUCUGGCUCCGGCUGGUGAAGCAUUCCAGGGCUGACGGCACAAGCUGAUUUGCAUAAGUGCCAAAGUCAAGUCAAACUGAAGCUGUAAACCAAACGAAGUAAUUAUGCCAGCGGGCCGCGUGGAGCACGGAAGCAUCUCGGGAUGCGCAGAAUCCCAUUCAUGGCAGCGCGGAGGAAUCGUGUGCUGUGGAGAACAAACAUCUCUGAUAAAGCCCUACAAGUGACACUGCUGAGUCAAAACACAAGGAUAUUCACCAUUUUGCUACAUAUUUGUGAUUUUGCUGCGCAUGAUUUUACUGAAGACUUCAUCCUAAAUAUUUGUACGAAGAAGGAAGCAGUGUCUGAAAGCCGAGAUGCCAGCAGCAUGAAUAAGGAGUGUAUAAAGGACGUGAAAUUAAAGUCUGUAUUUCUAAACAGGGCUCCCUUUUCCGUGGCGUUCUUUCUGCAAGGGGUUGCCUUGGCUGCUUCCAAGCGUUGUACUUGAUCAUUCUUUAAUUUAGAGAAUAAAAAAUUCAUGAGUU